UACGAAGGGGGCUAGCGUUGCUCGGAAUCACUGGGCGUAAAGCGCGCGUAGGCGGCUUUGUAAGUCGGUUGUGAAAUCCCCGGGCUUAACCUGGGAACUGCAUCCGAGACUGCAUAGCUAGAGUAUGGGAGAGGGAAGUGGAAUUUCAGGUGUAGCGGUGAAAUGCGUAGAUAUCUGAAGGAACAUCAGUGGCGAAAGCGACUUCCUGGACCAAUACUGACGCUCAUGUGCGAAAGCGUGGGGAGCAAACAGG
rnacentral:rRNA from 1 species